UACGAAGGGGGCUAGCGUUGUUCGGAAUCACUGGGCGUAAAGGGCGCGUAGGCGGCCUGAUAAGUCGGGGGUGAAAGCCUGUGGCUCAACCACAGAAUUGCCUUCGAUACUGUUAGGCUUGAGACCGGAAGAGGUAAGUGGAACUGCGAGUGUAGAGGUGAAAUUCGUAGAUAUUCGCAAGAACACCAGUGGCGAAGGCGGCUUACUGGUCCGGUUCUCGACGCUGAGGCGCGAAAAGCGUGGGGAGCAAACAGG
rnacentral:rRNA from 1 species